ensembl:lncRNA
CUUAUAUUUGUGUCAGCUGCCGGGGUUUUUCAGGUGAUUACGACGCUUGAAACAUUUGCAAGGCACCGGGGAAAUCCACUCAGUUUGGUGGUUUCAUCUUUAUUUGACAUGGAAAACGUUCAAGUCUCAAGUUGAAGUGCUGUAAUAUAUCCGGUAACGAUACACACAGAUCUGAGAAGGAAACACCAUUCAAAAGGUGGACUCACAUCUCUUUUCCUUCCCGAUAGGAGCAGACAGCGAGUGCAAAAAGCUAAAAUAACUUGUGUUUGUGGGUGUACGACGGGGGAAAGGUGAGAAAUUUGUUUGCGCUCAAUGGAGGCGAGAACAACCAAAAA